AUCGCUUCUUGGCCUUUUGGCUAAGAUCAAGUGUUCUGUUCUUAUCGGUUUAACAUCUGCGAUUCCCUCUAUGCAAGGACAGCACAGCACAUGGUUUUGGAGCAGGGAGAUCGAACAGGAGCUAGCUCCGCCCACACCAUGCAGCAACCUGGUAUUGAGGUACCUCCAGGGAAUGGUGCAAAAAAG